rnacentral:rRNA from 1 species
AUUUAAAACCAUUAACGAGGAACUAUUGGAGGGCAAGUCUGGUGCCAGCAUCCGCGGUAAUUCCAGCUCCAAGAGCGUAUUUGAAAAUUGUUGCUGUUAAAACGCCCGUAGUUGAAUGUAGAUAAGGUUCUUUCACUAUUGAGUGUAAAAAGCUCAGUGGAUUAUGUAAGAAAAUGUCAAAAUUUUAGAUAAAUGACAUUAACGAAAAUAUGAUCUUCUCGGAUCAAAAGAUAGUUUUUGUUUGCAGACAAAAAGUGAGUUAGAAUUGAUUAAUAAGGCGAACCCUUAUUAAGAGAAAUGAAUUAGGCUAGUGUUUGUCCUUAACUGUAAAAGGUUAAGGUUUGUUUAGAUAGGAUUCGCUUUGAAUAAAUUAGAGUGCUCAGAGCAAGCGAUUAUCGCUUGAAUAUAUUAGCAUGGUACGACGAAAUUUGAUAAAUCUGAAUUUUUGGUACAACUACAGUAACGAGCUUAAUUUUGAGAUGGAUAAUAGGAGUGUUAAAGCUUUUAUUAUUCGUGAAGUCUCUUUAUUAAGAAACGAUUGUAGCGAGUGCAGAUUUAUAAUGAUUAAAAGGGGCAAAUGGGGUAAUUCAUAUUGACUGGGUAGAGGUGAAAUUCUAUGAUCCAGUCAAGAUGCACUAAUGCGAAAGCAUUUUACCAAAAUGUUUUCUUUAAUCAAGGACGAAGGUUGUGGGCGCGAAGAUGAUUAGAUACCGUUGUAGUCACAACAGUAAACGAUGUUGAUUUAGGAUUGUGAAAAGUUAAUAUUAUGACUUUUACAGCACUAUGUGAGAAAUCAAAAUAUUUAAACUCAGGGGGAAGUAUGGACGCAAGUCUGAAACUUAAAAGAAUUGACGGAAGAGCACCACCAGGCGUGGAAUCUGCGGCUUAAUUUGACCCAACACGGGGAAACUUACCAGGUUAGGAUUUAAAAAGGAUUGACAGACUGAUCGCUCUUUCAUGAUAUUAAAGAUAGUGGUGCAUGGCCGUUUUUAGUUGAUAAAAAACUUCUUAAAGAUACUCUUUACGUUAUAGUAAAUGGAAGAGAGACAAUAACAGGUCUGUUAUGCCCUUCGAUAUCCUGGGCUGCACGCGCGUUACAAUGAAAUAUUCAAUGAGUUAAUCGAAUCCAAAAGGAUUGAGGAAAUCUUAUAACCCAUUUCGUGAUGGGGAUUGUGUUUUGCAAUUAUCGCACAUGAACGAGGAAUGCCUUGUAUUGGCUUGUCAUCAACAAGCUAAGAAUAAGUCCCUGCUCUUUGUACACACCGCCCGUCGCUCCUACAGAAGAGUAGUAAGAUGAGGACUGUGGACUUUUGACAUUGAAGGAAAUAAUCAGUUCUAAACUGAUCCUGAUUGUUACAGUGGAAACAUUGUAAUCUUAGAGAAAUUUGUUCGAAUCUUUUUACUUUGAUGAAGGAGAAGUCGUAACAAGGUCCUCGUAGG